rnacentral:rRNA from 1 species
UACAGAGGGUGCGAGCGUUUUCCGGAAUCCCUGGGCGUAAAGGGCGCGUAGGCGGCUUGAUUAGCGUGCGGUGAAAGCCCGGGGCUCAACCCCGGGUCGGCCGUGCGAACUGUCGAGCUGGAGCACUGUAGAGGCAGGUGGAAUUCCGGGUGUAGCGGUGGAAUGCGUAGAGAUCCGGAAGAACACCGGUGGCGAAGGCGGCCUGCUGGGCAGUGGCUGACGCUGAGGCGCGACAGCGUGGGGAGCAAACAGG